CCUACGGGUUGCAGCAGUGGGGAAUAUUGCACAAUGGAGGAAACUCUGAACCAGCAAAGUCGCGUGAAUGCUGACGUACUUCUGUAUGGUAAGCUUCAUCUAUAUGGAAGUAGAAAGACGUUUCCUGACUAAGCAGCCUCUGCUAACUGCUUGCCAGCAGCCGCGGUAAGACGUAGGGGGCACGCGAUAUCCGUAUAUACUGGGUUUAAACGGAGCGUAGACGGCUGUGCAAGUCUGAAGUGAAAGCUCGUGGCUCAACCACCGAAUUGCUUUGGAACCUGGAUGACUUGAGUACUGGUGAGGAAGGCGGAAUGCGUGGUGUAGCGGUGAAAUGCGUAGAUAUUAGGAGGAACACCAGUGGCGAAGGCAGCAUACUAGACAGAAACUGAAGUUGAGGCACGAAAGCGUGGGGAGCAAACAGGAUUAGAUACCCUGGUAGUC
rnacentral:rRNA from 1 species